AUGGGCUACCUCCACGGUCUCAACCAAGUCCGGUUAGUAUCUAUUUUUCACAUCAUGCAUUAGAUCAGUGGCGGAGCUAUGUUGGUUGCUGGGGGGCUGUGGCCCCCUCAACAUUGAACCAACUUGUGAAGGAAAAAAUAUUAUGAUGGCUUAGAUGAAAACUUUGUUAGCUUUNNNNNNNNNNNNNNNNNNNNNNNNNNNNNNNNNNNNNNNNNNNNNNNNNNNNNNNNNNNNNNNNNNNNNNNNNNNNNNNNNNNNNNNNNNNNNNNNNNNNNNNNNNNNNNNNNNNNNNNNNNNNNNNNNNNNNNNNNNNNNNNNNNNNNNNNNNNNNNNNNNNNNNNNNNNNNNNNNNNNNNNNNNNNNNNNNNNNNNNNNNNNNNNNNNNNNNNNNNNNNNNNNNNNNNNNNNNNNNNNNNNNNNNNNNNNNNNNNNNNNNNNNNNNNNNNNNNNNNNNNNNNNNNNNNNNNNNNNNCUGAUUCUGUCCAGCUCCGCCACUGCAUUAGGUGAUCUAAAUGCUAGGCUUAAGAUCCUGUCACAUUUAUCCUUUAAGAUUGUUUCUAACAAUGGUAUCAUGAGCAUGUUUAUGCCUAGAUUAGAUCCCUACUGACCUUCUGUUUACGUUAAUGGUAAUGGUUAAGUCAUAAUGAUUUCAGAUUAAGAUCCAUGGUUAAUGCCUAUAGAUUAAUGCGCUCUGCUAAGUCAAUGAUAUAUGUUCAGGUUAAUUGGUUCCGGUCAAGGCCAAUUGCUAUGGGUUAAUGCUAUUAGACAGAACGUCCAAUAUAUUCUGUUAGAUUAAUUGAGCCAAGCUUCCGCAUCAAGUUAAUGAUACAAUUAGCACGUUACAAUCCCCGUUUAGCAAUUAGGAGGUGAUUUGACAAACUAAUGAAAAUCCCCAAAGUUCCAAAUUCACCAAAACCCUACCCUAGAAAUUUUCCCAAUUUGCAAAUCCAAAGCGCCAAAUGUUGAAAUUGAAGAAAAGAGGGACUGGUACUGUUGUUAAUGGCGGCCGCAGUGCGUGCUCGUCAUGGCCGGAACGACGCCGUCCUUCGGGACGACAACCAGUGUGAAGCGCGCCGCCGCUCGCCGCUCUAAUGGACGCGCACGUCGGCAGGGUUCCGCGCCUUGCACGUCGCCGUCGCAUCCAAAAGAUUGCGCCGGCAGUUGCGCUCGUCUCCCCAUCGUCGCUGUCUGGGCCAUAUUGCGUCCCGAGUGGCCACGCUCGGCAGAGGAGCGCGCGGCACUCCGUCCGCUGCGGACCCCCGUUUUGUUCCGCUGGGGCUCGAUCUGGUCCGUCAAUCCGAUCGGACGGGUGACAGCGACAAGUGGCAAAUAAUGGGCCUCAGUUUGUUAAAUGGGCCAAAUCUGGCAGUGGGCAGGUUGGUACCUCCUAUCUGCCACAUUCUGCGGCAGACUUGCAGGCGAGAGCUCCUAUGCGCCGCUCGUUGCGGCGAAUUGUCGAGCGGACGCACAGGCGUGUCUCCAGCUGGGCCAGCCCAUUAGCGCAACGCGAUGAAUAAAUCCCAAAAUACUCCGCUCGAGCGAGGAAUUGAACCAGGGACCUCCAUCUUUGUACGCACGAGCCUAGCCAACGCCAUAGACAAGCUUUCUUGGUUUGCCAUGGCACGCGAAGCUAACAGAUAAUGUAGAUCGGAACAUUUUCUCAAAUUCCUAACGCGAAAAUUAUUUUGAAAAAGUGUUUUUUUAAAAGUGAACACUCUCCAAAUUUUAGAAGAAAAACUAAAAAUCUUGAACAAAGUUUUGAUAAAAUGAACACUUUUUAAAAUCCCGAACAUUUUUUGAAUUUAGAGAACAAAAUUUGAACAUGAACAUUUUUUAAAGCACAAACUUUUUUUAAUCUUGAGAACAAAUUUUGAAACCGAGAACAAAUUUGGAAGCGCGGAUUGUUUUUUAAGGCAUGAAUAUGUUUUUUGAAUCUUGAGAACAAAUUUGGAAGCACGAACAAUUUCUUAAAGCACAAAGAUUUUUUUUAAUAUUGAGAACAAAUUUUGAAACGGAGAACCAAAUUGAAAAAUUAAGAACAAAUUUGGAAGCGUGAACAUUUUUUGAAAAUGGGAACAAAAAAAUUAAAGUCUAGUACAUUAUAUUAAUUUCGAAAGUUUUAAACUUUUUUGUAACAAGAACAAUUUUUUGAAUUUUGAGAACAUUUUUAGAAAAACUGAACAUUUUAUGGAAAGGCAACCAAAAUUUGAAUAUUUUGAAAAAAAAUAGAGAGAAAAGAAAAAGAAAAAGGAAAGGAAAUAAGAGACCAAAGAAAGAAAACAAAUAGAAAAAACGAAAAAAGAAGAAAUGAAAAAAGAAACAGAAAGGAAUUUGAAAAUCCGAAGAACAAAAAGGAAAUAGAAAGAGAAGAAAAAGGAAUUGAAAAAUGAAAUAAAGAAACAGAAAAACAACAACAACAACAACAACAACAACAACAACAACAACAACAAAGUCUUUAGUCCCAAACAAGUUGGGGUAGGCUAGAGAUGAAACCCAUAAGAUCUCGCAACCAACUCAUGGCUCUGGCACAUGGAUAGCAAGCUUCCACGCACCCCUGUCCAUAGCUAGCUCUUUGUCGAUACUCAAAUCCUUCAGGUCUCUCUUAACGGACAAAGAAACAGAAAAACAAAGAAAGAAAAAAUAAACAAAAAAAGAAAGAAAAACCAGUGAAAAACUGGUUCAAGAACCUUCUGGAAGGUUCUCAAAACCGGUCAGGAACCUUCCAGAAAAUACCCAAAACCAGAUACUAUAGCGUGUGUACUAUCUCGUAGUUGGGCCGGCCCAUCUUGAUAGCUAGGUCGCUCGCCUCUGUGGGUUCGCUCGACUUUCUGCCGCAAUGAUCGUCCGUUAGGAUAUUCCCUUAAGGGGGAGUUCCUAUGGAUCGCAUUCUGCGCUGCUUGAAAGCAUAUGACGCUAACCAGUUGACCUACUGACAUUUGUUCAUUACAAUACACCGUUCCAUUAAAAAAUUCAAACCCAAAACUUGUUUUUUCAAAAAAAAAUGUGAAUGUUUUAUCAAACGGGAACAUUUUUUCAAUUUUUUAAGAAUUUUGAGAAAACUUAAACAUUUUUGAACACGCAAAAUAAUUUUCGAGAAGCGGACAUUUUCAAAAUGGAACAUGUUUUAAACUACCCAAAAAACUGAACAGGAUUUGUUUUUCAAAAAUAGGAACAUUUUUCAAAUUCCAAAACAAAAUUUGGAAACGCAAAUAAAUUUUGAACACGUACAAAUUUUUAAUUUCCCAAACAUUUUUUUGAAAACAUGAAGGUUUUGGAAUAAUUUUUUAAAGCACGAACAUUUUUUUAAUCUUGAGAACAAAUUUUUAAACGGAGAACAAAUUUUGAAGCGCGGACAAAUUUUUAAAACACUAACAUUUUUUGAAUUUUAAGAACAAAUUUUCAAAUGGAGAACAAUUUAAAAAAAUCCCGAACAAAUUUGGAUGCGUGAUUUUUUUAAUAUGUGAACAAAAAAUUGAAAUCCGGUACAUUUUCUGAAUUUAGAAAGUUGUGAACUUUUUUGUGUAAUGACAGCAAUUUUUUGAAAACUGAACAUUUUUCUAAAACAUGGACGUUUUGGAAUUUGUGAACAAUUUUUUAAAGCACAAACAUUUUUCGAAUCUUGAGAACAAAUUCCAAAAAGGAGAACAAAUUUUGAAGCGUGAACAAAAUUUUAAUGCACGAACAUUUUUUGAAUCUUGAGAACAAAUUUUGAAAUGGAGAACAAUUUUGGAAAAUCCCUAACAAAUUUGGAAGCAUGAUUUUUUUUGGAAUACACGAACAAAAAUUUGAAAUCUAGUACAUUUUCUGAAUUUCAAAAGUUGCUGAACUUUUUUCUGUAAUGAGAACAUUUUUUCAAAAACUGAACAUUUUGUUGGAAACAUGAAUAAAACUUGAAUAUUUUGAAAAAAGUUUGAAAAAAAGAGAAGGGAAGCAAAAGAAACAAAAACCAAAGAAAAAAUUGUUGAGAAGAGAAAUUAACUUGAAAAGGAAAACUGGAAGAAAACAAAAAAAGUAACGAAAAGAAAAGGAAAAAGAACCAGAAAAAGGAAGAAGAAAAACAAAUAGAAAGGCUAAAAAAGAAAAAUAAAAGGAAAAAUAAAAAACCGGUUCAGGAACCUUUUAGAUAGUUCCCAAAACCAGUAACAACCGGCUGGGAACGCUCUAGAAGGUUCCCGAAACCAGAACCUGUAAGUACGUUAAAGAUGGGCCGGCUCAAAUCGCUCGCUAGUGGGCAUCCCUUGUGCGAUUCGUCGACAGUUUGACGCAAUAUGCGUCAAAUAGGAUUUUCCGACUGGCGGCGCUUUGCACAAGGGUGCCAAACUAACGGCCCGCCUAGGCAAUGAACCCCGUGAUGCGAACAAAAAGGAAGAACGACGCGCCCUAGGUUCGAAAUCUUCGUUAGCGUACUCAACCAGUGGACCUGAUGCCUUUCGUGAACGGUAAGCAGCGCCAACAUUUAAGUAGUGACACCAACACUGAGUGACACUCGCGUGUAAAAAUUCCUAAAAGUGUUGGUCCAGCAGGGAUUCGAACUCGGCCCCUCCUGAUAGUAAACAGUGGUACAUAAGCAUUGAAACACGUAUUUUUGGUCUCUAAAAUUGCAGCAUGGCUUAUAAGAAAUGCUAGGGCACACAACAUUUAGAGUACUCUGAAAAUUUUCCUUUGUUUUUACGUUUCACUAUUAGCCUUUGUUUUUAAGUUUCAGUAAGUCCAACAAUGUUUCUGUUAAUUUCUUCUUUGAAUAAAUGUAUUACUGAUCGAGUGUUUCAGAACUUUAGAACACUUGUUUGUCCUGUAAUUUCAAACACAACAGAUCAUGUUUAAUUAACCACCAUAUCAGCAAAUUGUGCUUCAUAGACAAACAUUAUAGACUAUCAAGAUGAAUGUAGCAUCGCCAUUACCUGUUUAGGCAGACCAUUUCAACCAUGGAUUGUGGUUGCAAUUAUUUGACAAGCUUCAGCGCUAGAAUCUGCAACCACAUCUGGCUCAUUGUCCUGGAAAUGAAGAAUUGAGUCACUUUAUUAUCUGUGAAACAAGAUACAGAAUUGAUCAACAAUUAUCCUUAGGCUUGCUGUGAACAUGCAUGAGCUAUAACACAGCAGUCCCCCACUUAAGCAGCAAGGAGUAGAGCAAACAAUCUUGAACAUCAUGUCAAUAAACUGAAAAUGUUCAAGGUACUGCAGUAAACUGAAUCAAUGUCGUUUUAUCAAUGUUGUUUCAAGCAGACAAAGGAGUUUCAAGUAAACUGAAAAUGUUCAAGGUAAUGCAGUAAACUGAAUCAACAACAACUACUCCCAACUCUAAAUUUUGACAGUAAGAAUAAGAAAGAAAAUUCAGUGAGUAAAUAAGAUUGCAGAAUAAGAAUAAGAACAGGGGCUUGAGGAUGUUCCAAUUAUUUAAGUGAAGAACUGCGAAUUUGUUAUGGUAGAUACUCCCAACUCUGAAUUAUGGGCAGAAUCAUGAGAUGACGAGAAAGGUUAUAGAGGGGCAGAAUCAUUGGCAUCAGAAGAAAAAUAAAUCGAGGGGCAGUUUUGUACAGGCUAUAGAGGUUAAUGAUAGCUGUGGUGUUACCGACAAAAUUACUGAAGUGUAACGAAUCUUGCUAAUAAUCCUUAGCAAGACAAUAAUCUUUAGCACUUGAAAACUCUUUGCAGAAAACAAAAAUUAUCUUGGAAAGUGUCCACGGAAUUUCAGUCGGAGCCAUCUCCUUUUCAAAAACAUCAUGAAUCCAAAAUCUAGGAGACAGAUUUUAGAGAAUUGCUAAUAUUCCUGGGACAGUAGCAGCAUGGGCUAAUCUAAGCUUUAUUUCACACUUAACUGCCUGAUGUGACUGCACGAGGCACUGUUGUUGCAUUUUAUCACUAGGCAAAUGUUCUCUGCAAACAUCAUUCAUUCUUCUGGUUUUUCUCUGCAGGAGCAACAUAAAAGAGGCGAAGACGCCGAAGAACCAAAGAUAUCGGUAGCCAAAGCCUUCAAAGCGCAGGGAGAGGUAGCUUUAGAAGAUCACUACUGCUUUCUUUCAGGAGAGAUGGAAAUGUUGCUGUCGCUGUACCAACCGUUAGCUUAGACAACAGUAAGGCGUAAGCAAGCCCUGCACUGGGAUGAUGAUUUGCUUGGCCAUCUUAUGGGGAAAGUAUAUACAGGGAGAAGCUCUUAAACUUUGUUGCUUGUAAGUAAGCCACAUUUCGAUAGCAAAUCAUUGAUCAGGAAAUAUCAAC
rnacentral:lncRNA from 1 species